rnacentral:rRNA from 1 species
AUGUCGCCACAUGAACUCAUUGAGCUUAAGGAGGAAAUCGACAAAUCUCUUAGCAAAGGUUUCAUUCACCCUAGUUGCUCUCCUUGGGGAGCACCUUCUCUCUUUGUUAAGAAGAAGGAUGGGACAAACCGAUUGGUCCAAGAUUAUCGACCUAUUAACCAAGCCACUAUUCAAAACAAAUAUCCCCUCCCUCGGAUCAAUGAUCUUUAUGAUCAACUGGCUGGUUCAUCAGUGUUCUCCAAACUCGACUUGAGGUUGGGUUACCACCAGAUCCGUGUUUGUGAAGAGGAUAUCCCAAAGACCGCCUUCGUGACUCGGUAUGGAUCACGAGUACACCGUCAUGUCAUUCGGCUUAAUGAAUGCUCCCACCACCUUCUCUUGUCUGAUGAACUAUAUAUUCAUGGAUUACCUCGACAAGUUCAUCGUGGUUUAUCUGGAUGA